CGUACGGUGCUGCAGAUUGAGUCAGGUACUUGGUGCUUUGUCCGCACCUGUCAGAAGUUGUUUCAAAACCAGCUCUUACCAGCCCCUGGAAAUACCAGAGGAGAAUCCUGCCCCAAGCACUAGUACUGCUCAGUGGACAGUGAGAUCAGCGAUAUUAGAUGGGCUGAGUGCAAAUUAUGUACAAAGAAGAAAACCAUCAUAUCUGGUUCUGUUCAAGCCACUACAUACUUCAAAACUCACCCGAAGAGGUUGCAUGGUGAGGUACUUCCAGAGUUUGUGCAAUACAAGCAGGGUUUCAGCAGUGGAAAGAAAAGGACCAUCGGUACCACUCACAAGCAGACAAAGUUGUUUACAGACUGUUCUCCCAGAAAUGCCCAGAUCUCUCAAAAAAAAACGUAGAUGACUUAAUCACUGCCUGUGUUAUUAAAGGAAUGCAUCCUCUUUCAACUGUUGAACAGCAAGAAUUCAUUGACCUCGUUCAGGGCUUGAACCCAGAAGCAACAUCCCAUGAACGUGUUGUUGCCACAGUAACAGACAAUGGUCCACUUUCGUCAAAGCAUUUAAAGAAUUUAAUAUUUCAGCAGAGUGUGUGUGUGUGGAUGGAGAGAGUCACAACGACGGAGAAGAUCUCCCAUUUAUCGCAAGAGACUCUGAGGAAAAUGAGACUGGCGUUAUUUUACCAACUCAUUUGCGACGCGUGUGCCAUACUCUUAAGUCUGGUUGCGACAAUUGAUGCAAAAAAGGCCAUGAAAGCACACUCUAGCUUGUCGCGUCUUAACAACUCUACAAUGGGAAAAUGUUCUGCACUGUGGAAUGCAGCAGGAAGGCCUAAAAGCGCUGAAGUGGUGUCUGCACUACUGAAAUUCAGGUUGACUACACCUUGUGCGACGCGUCGGAACUCUCUAUAUGACAGCCUUCAUCAGCUCUGCAGCAUCCGCGAGACACUCCCUGAGUUAAACCUGAGUUAAACCUGAAUCUGGAGUACAUUGAAGAGUAUACCAAAAGUCCUGAAAGUCACCGUGCUGUUACGCAGAAUUAAUUCCAACCUUAUUUGCAAUAGAGGCUAAGCUUGAAGCUCUGCAUGCCAACAACCUCCGUUACUGUUCGCACCUUCUGCAUGGAGAUUUGGUGCCUUUCUAGAUCUUCGACCAGAAGUAAAUGAAGCGAUCCUGGCGAGUGCGACCCAUCCGUACUUUAAGAUGCACUGGCUGCGCAUCUUAAAAAAAAAAAGAAUCCAAGAACUGAUGCUUCAGGCUGCCACUGAUCUUGGGCUUCGACGGCAGAGGAAGCGGAUGACUUCUUCAUCUUCACAGAAGACGUGGAGGUUUUCCAGAAGUCUUCUCACAGCAAGGCUGAGCUAGAGUCACUUCAUUUUCUGGAGGACCAAAGGAAGGACUUGCCAUCCUUGGACCAGUAUCCCCUCAUCUAAAACCUUUUUGUAAGGUUCAAUACCAUCAUUCCGUCCUCUGCUGGACUGAUUAACAGACCUCAUAAGUGUCGUCUGAAUGCAAAUCUCUUUGAGAAGUUAGUUGUAACUGAGGAGACAGCACUAGGUUAUACACACUGCUUUGCACAUGAUUAGAUCACAACACUUGAGUUUACCAUUUUCCUUUCUUUUUUCUGUUUUACAAUAUUAAUGUGACAACCUGUUUUUUUUAGUUUUUAGUUUGACUUUUUUGUUGUGCAUUGUGAUGAAACUCACCAAGUGUGGUAGUGGUGGUGUUUAUGCUUCCUACUGUAGUUUAAAUCUCAAAAUAAAUCAGCCAUUUGGAUUGUU